CACAAGUCAUUGUCCCAGCCGAUGCUGCUGUGUGAAGCUGUUCUUCCUCCCUGCCUGCCCCAUUCAACAGGAAGCCCUGGUUGUAGGAGGGAAGAGUCCAUGUCUUUCUCUGGGACUUGUCUGUUUCCCUGGAAGGCUGGAAAGGAGCAAGAGAGGCUCAUGUUGAUGCUGCUUAAUUCUCGCUCCGUGAUGAAAGGCUCACUCAGAGACCUGAUUGAGGAGUCAUCGUCUUUCACAUGUCUGCUGUCUGGUUGGUCUUCUCCCACCCUGACAAUUGCUUCCUUUCCAUUUUUCAUGAAGAGAGAGCUGGUGGGUCAAGCUAAUUGCUACUGAACUAUUGCUUUCUGCACCUGGUGCUCCAUCAGCCUGUGGUCAUCUUUGGAAUUGGAUGCCCUUGAGUCAGGCGCCCAUCCAUGUCCAACUGGGAUCUCAACUGCAGUCAGGCUGGGGUUCAGCUGCAGGCUCCAGCACACAGCCAGCAUUCCUGCUUCGGUCCUUCCACGGCACAGGGGAACGUGCAUAUGACUGAGUCUUCCUAGCUGCCGAGGAGGAGACGUGAGAAGCAAUGGAGGGGAAACUGAACAUGAGACAUUCGCCUUUCUGACCCCCACUCAUUUCAGCUGCCUGUCACAUCGCCGCAGGAUAGCAACUCUCCUGCGCAGCAGGCAUUCAGGAGCCAGGCCACACACCAGGAUCUGUCCUUCUAUCUAGCACCCUGUGCCUACUCUGAGGUUAGCAACAAGUGGCAACCUCUUCCUUCCUACAGACAAGAAGGUGACUGGCGCUUCCCAGCCCAUUAUUCCAGCCCACGCAGAGUGAGGUUAAUGGAACUGAGAUGAAGCUGGCUGGCGGGAGAGGGAGAGCCCUGAGGGGACCACACAGCUCAUCUUCCAUCCCUCAGCCUGCUCUUCCCCCACCCCAAGCUCUGGGCAUCUCUGUCCAAAGACAGAGAUGGGAAGGGCAGAGGGAUAAAGGGGUCUUACACUCUUACCAACAGAUUCUGCAGGGAGGGGUGCUGUCAGCUUGGUUAUCAUUAGGAAAGAUCAGUUUGUAAUGCCCUUAGACAGUUCUGUGAUUGGCUUGUGGGUACAGACGGAGGUAGACUGCUCAUCUCCACAAUGAAUCUGCUUCUUGGUAGGAGUGGUCCUAAAAGGGCAAGAGAGAAGGAGAGCGCCCACACGGAAUGAAUGGAUCUGGCAGCCUGGAUUCCAGGAAAGAUCUUUGAUGCCUGAGUAGAAAGUGCUUGAAGAGCUACAGACAGGGCUGAGGUCAGAGGUCAGAGGUCAGAGGUAAUCUGUAGUGGAAACAGGAGGUGAGAAAGCCUUCAUCUUCUAGAUGAACUGAGACCGGAACCGCAGAUUUCACAGAUGAAACUGGGCACGCUUCGUAACUCGAGCCCUGGGUAGAGCAUCACACUUGUUGAUCUGAAGGCCAUCCGGCUGCUCAGAUGACUUUCCUGCUGAUGAGGAAAGAAACACCCUCCCGGCUUCACCCCAUGACUUGUUGGGCAAUGGUGCAACACUGAGGUUCAUUGCAGUCUAAGAGACUCUUCCAUGAUCCCGCUCUUUUACCAGUCACAUCCUCCUACAUGGAAUAUACACAAUAUGCACACACACACACACACACAGAGAGAG
rnacentral:lncRNA from 1 species